AACGAACGCUGGCGGCAUGCCUAACACAUGCAAGUCGAACGAGACCUUCGGGUCUAGUGGCGCACGGGUGCGUAACGCGUGGGAAUCUGCCCUUGGGUUCGGAAUAACAGUUAGAAAUGACUGCUAAUACCGGAUAAUGUCUUCGGACCAAAGAUUUAUCGCCCAGGGAUGAGCCCGCGUAGGAUUAGCUAGUUGGUGAGGUAAAGGCUCACCAAGGCGACGAUCCUUAGCUGGUCUGAGAGGAUGAUCAGCCACACUGGGACUGAGACACGGCCCAGACUCCUACGGGAGGCAGCAGUGGGGAAUAUUGGACAAUGGGCGAAAGCCUGAUCCAGCAAUGCCGCGUGAGUGAUGAAGGCCUUAGGGUUGUAAAGCUCUUUUACCCGGGAUGAUAAUGACAGUACCGGGAGAAUAAGCCCCGGCUAACUCCGUGCCAGCAGCCGCGGUAAAU
rnacentral:rRNA from 1 species